rnacentral:rRNA from 1 species
AACGAACGCUGGCGGCAGGCUUAACACAUGCAAGUCGAACGCAUCGCAAGAUGAGUGGCAGACGGGUGAGUAACGCGUGGGAACAUACCCUUUUCUACGGAAUAGCUAUGGGAAAAUGGAAUUAAUACCGUAUACGCACUACGGGGGAAAGAUUUAUCGGGGAAGGAUUGGCCCGCGUUGGAUUAGCUAGUUGGUGGGGUAAAGGCCUACCAAGGCGACGAUCCAUAGCUGGUCUGAGAGGAUGAUCAGCCACAUUGGGACUGAGACACGGCCCAAACUCCUACGGGAGGCAGCAGUGGGGAAUAUUGGACAAUGGGCGCAAGCCUGAUCCAGCCAUGCCGCGUGAGUGAUGAAGGCCUUAGGGUUGUAAAGCUCUUUCACCGAUGAAGAUAAUGACGGUAGUCGGAGAAGAAGCCCCGGCUAACUUCGUGCCAGCCGCCGCGGUAACAC